AUCAAUAUGUAAUGUCCAGUAAAUAACAACAAACACGGUUACCGUUGGUUACAUCAUGUUUCAAUGCUUUAUCGACUGAUAAAAUUAGUCAUAUCUAAUAUAGUUUUUUUUGGACAGCAAUUCAUUGUCUGUUUGUAUGUCUUUGUUCUUUAUGUAUUUCAGAUUCAAUCUGCUGAUGCCCAAAAUGUCUGAGGUGUCCAGCAGGCCAAGGCCAGGAAAUACUACAGUACUGAGAGGGAGGCUGUUGUUAUCGGCUUCUGUGGCUUCCUGCAUGACACACUAACACACCUGAGCAACCUGUCCGCAGAGGUCCACCAUCACCAUAGCAACCUGUCCACCUGUCUGCAGAGGUCCACCAUCACCAUAGCAACCUGUCCACCUGUCUGCAGAGGUCCACCAUCAUCAUAGCAACCUGUCCACCUGUCUGCAGAGGUCCACCAUCACCAUAGCAGAAGCCCACAGCUCCUUGUGCUCAACACAGGCAGUACUUAAGAAGUACAAAACCAGGUAUGUUUAUUUAAGCUGCAAUAAGAAAUACUUACCUGAAGAGAAUUAAGAGAAAGGAAUACGUCAAUAAGAGAGGGAGAGAAAGUGUGAGUGAGAGUGUGUGGUAAAGGAACAUUCUGAAAGAAUGUUAAAAUGUGCCUUUUAUCAUCAGAGAAGGGCCCAUGAUGAAGGCCACAACGGCCAACAGAUAUGAGGGGAUUUCUCUGACCAGAGGUGACAGCAAGACCCUCGUCACCUCACAGGAUAAAAUGCUCGACAGACUAGUUGAGAGCAUGACUGACAGGUUCCAGGACGCCAGUGUAGGGGUUCUGUGUGCCACCAAGCUGGUCAGCUUCACCAGUGUAGGGGUCCUGUGUGCCACCAAGCUGGUCAGCUUCACCAGUGUAGGGGUCCUGUGUGCCACCAAGCUGGUCAGCUUCACCAGUGUAGGGGUCCUGUGUGCCACCAAGCUGGUCAGCUUCACCAACUGGCCAGAGUCAGGAGAUGAAGCAGCAGAUUUUGGAGACACUGAAUUGGAAACCCUGGUGGACCACUUCCUGUCCUGGAGACCUCUGGUAUCCAUGUUGAAAGGAUCAAAUCUUCUUUAAGUUUAUAUUCAACAUAAUAACUUAUCGUCUCAAUGAAAUGUACUGAAAUGAAUGUAAGGCAAAAAGGCAAUUUAUUAUUUUGGCUGGUAAAAAAAUAAGCUUGGCUGGUGGAUUUUUUAAUCUACCAGUCUCCUUGGCAGGUGAGCCAAGAAGUUAAUUUCGGACACUGCCCACACACCCACAUUGCCCUUAAAGGCAUUGACAGCGCUGAUCAUGUAUACCACAUCUUUGUCUUUUCCCUGAAGCUCGUAGAUGAGCUGGUUCAGUUUUGCUGUUUUGUUUCGUGAGGAAACCUCAGUCUAGCAGCCGUGCAUCAUCAGACAGUUCCUCACGUUCCUCAUUUCGUGACUCCAGAAAUGAUUUGAUCUCGGGCAGCAAGUCAACCAAUCGCUGCAGUACUUUCCCGCGACUCAACCACCUUAUGCAAGUGUGGAGAAUCA
rnacentral:lncRNA from 1 species